GCUGACUAGCUCGCCGACAUAUUUGGAUUAAAAAUUCACCAUAUAUAUCCCAUCAAACCUUAAAAAACAACUAAUAAACCAUUUUUCCUCCUUAGUACAGGCGAUAGAAAAGGAGUCACCGAGCAAUAGAUAAAGUACCGCAAGGGAAAGCUGAAAGAGAAAUGAAACAACCCAUUUAAGCCUUAAAAAGCAGAGAUUUAACCUCGUACCUUUUGCAUCAUGAUUUAGCUAGCAAAACCGGGCAAAGAGCACUUUAGUCCGGACCCCCGAAACUAAACGAGCUACUCCGGGCCAGCCUACAAUAGGGCCAACCCGUCUCUGUGGCAAAAGGGUGGGAAGAGCCCCGAGUAGAGGUGAUAAACCUAUCGAGUUUAGUUAUAGCUGGUUGCUUAAGAAAUGAAUAGAAGUUCAGCUCUUUAGGUUUCUUUUUACCCCAAGGUAAUACUAAUAUUGUUUACAAGAACCUAAAGAAGUUAGUCAAAAGAGGUACAGCUCUUUUGAAAAAGGACACAACCUUAGCAGGUGUUUAAGGAUCAUAAUUACUAAGGUAUCUGUUAUAGUGGGCCUAAGAGCAGCCACCUAUAGAGAAAGCGUUAAAGCUCAAACAGGUAAAAACCUCUUAUUCUGAUAAUAUAUCCUAACCCCUAAUUUUAUUAAGCUAUUCCAUUAUAUGGAAAAAAUUAUGCUAAAAUGAGUAAUAAGGGGGAGCACCCCCCUUCUUGCACCUGUGUAAGUCGGACCGGAUCCCCCACCGACCUUUAACGAACCCAAACCAAGAGUGUAUUGUAAACCCUAACAAGAAAAAAUUACAUAUACUAAUCGUUAACUCCACACUGAUGUGCACCCAAGAAAAGACCUAAAGAAAAAGAAGGAACUCGGCAAACACAAGCCUCGCCUGUUUACCAAAAACACCGCCUCUUGAACACCUAACAUAAGAGGUCCCGCCUGCCCUGUGACUAUAUGUUUAACGGCCGCGGUAUUUUAACCGUGCGAAGGUAGCGCAAUCACUUGUCUUUUAAAUGAAGACCUGUAUGAAUGGCAUCACGAGGGCUUAGCUGUCUCCUUUUUCAAGUCAAUGAAAUUGAUCUGCCCGUGCAGAAGCGGACAUAAUAACAUAAGACGAGAAGACCCUGUGGAGCUUUAGACACCCGGCAGACCCUGUUAAACAACUGGAUUAUCAGAUUUAAACAAAGCGGCUCCUGAUCCCUAUGUCUUCGGUUGGGGCGACCACGGGGGAAAAUAAAGCCCCCAUGAGGAUAAAAGGUAUUACCUUCAUAACUAAGAGCCACAGCUCUAAGUAUUAGAACUUCUAACCAAAAGAUCCGACACCAGUCGAUCAACGAACCAAGUUACCCCAGGGAUAACAGCGCAAUCCUCUCCCAGAGUCCUUAUCGACGAGGGGGUUUACGACCUCGAUGUUGGAUCAGGACAUCCUAAUGGUGCAGCCGCUAUUAAGGGUUCGUUUGUUCAACGAUUAAAGUCCUACGUGAUCUGAGUUCAGACCGGAGUAAUCCAGGUCAGUUUCUAUCUAUGAAGUAUUCUUCUCUAGUACGAAAGGACCGAGAAGAAGGGGCCCCUGCUAAAAGUAUGCCCCACCCCCACCCAAUGAAAACAACUAAAGUGGCCAAGGGGGCGCACAUAAGUGCAGAAAAGAACUGCGC
rnacentral:rRNA from 1 species